rnacentral:rRNA from 1 species
CAAUAGCGUAUAUUUAAGUUGUUGCAGUUAAAAGCUCGUAGUUGGAUUUUGGUUAAGAGGGCGCGGUCGGCCGUUUGGUCUGUACUGCGUUGUCUUGACUUCCUGAUGAGGACAUGCUCUUGGUUAACGCUGAGACAUGGAGUCAUCGUGGUUACUUUGAAAAAUUAGAGUGUUCAAAGCGGGCUUACGCUUGAAUAUAUUAGCAUGGAAUAACACUAUAGGACUCCUGUCCUAUCUCGUUGGUCUCGGGAUGGGAGUAAUGAUUAAGAGGAACAGUUGGGGCAUUCGUAUUUCAUUGUCAGAGGUGAAAUUCUUGGAUUUAUGAAAGACGAACUUCUGCGAAAGCAUUUGCCAAGGAUGUUUUCAUUAAUCAAGAACGAAAGUUGGGGGCGGUCUGAACGAAAGCAGCAUGCAAGUCAAUGAAUACCCCAAUUCCUUGGAAGGA